AACAAAAGCAAACCAGUUCUCCUGAAAUAUGUGGUAGUCUUGACGACUGAGGAGACGAGACAACAAUGGCUCUUCCACUUGUCUUCUGCCAUCCCCAGACAUCUUCAAGUUUCAUCACGUCCUCAUCCCAACGAAGAACACAAGUCUUCUUAAUAAGGAACACCAAUCACGAUCCUCUUCCUAACGCCAGAACCAAUCUCCAGUUGACUCCCUCCAAAUCCAAUGGAAGAUUCAUUUCCAUUUCUCCUCCAAAGUCAUCAGCUUCAGUCAAUGGAUACUCUGUCAACAGUACUAUUAGCAAUCCCGAGGAUGUUGAUUUUCCAACAACAGAGGGCAGCGAGAAACUUAGUCAGAAUCCCAGAACAGUGAUUGAGUUUAUUAAGGAUAUAUUGCCAGGUGGUAGCUGGUGGAGGCUCUCUUCCUCGGACCAUGUUGAAGUUGUCCUAACGGCAAAACCGGUGACAGUUGUGCGAGCGCUUCGGCGGAUGUGGGAUUUGAUAAGUGAAGAUCGGUGGGUCAUUUUUACUGCCUUUUCUUCCUUGAUGCUGACUGCCCUUUCACAGAUCUCAAUUCCUCAUUAUCUGACAGCUUCAAUUUUUUCUGCCCAAAGUAACAAUGUAUCGGUGUUUUCCUGGAAUGUGAAGCUUUUGAUUCUGCUAUGCAUUACAUCAGGAAUAGGCAGUGGUAUAAGAGGUUGCUGUUUUGGCAUUGCAAAUAUGAUUCUGGUCAAACGAAUGAGGGAAAGAUUAUAUUCUACUCUUCUUCUUCAGGAUAUUUCUUUCUUCGACUAUGAGACAGUUGGUGACCUAACAAGUAGGCUUGGGUCAGAUUGUCAGCAAGUCUCACGCGUAAUUGGCAAUGACCUUAAUCUUAUAUCUCGCAAUUUGCUUCAGGGGACAGGUGCAUUAAUAUACUUAGUGAUCUUAUCAUGGCCACUUGGAUUGUGUACAUUCGCUAUAUGCGCUAUGCUGUCAACCAUAAUGCUGUUAUACGGCCAGUACCAAAAGAAAGCAGCUAAAUUGAUCCAAGACUAUGGUGCUUCAGCCAAUGAAGUUGCUCAAGAGACUCUGUCUUUAAUGAGGACUGUAAGAGUGUAUGGUACUGAACAACAAGAACUUGGAAGGUACAAUAACUGGCUGGAGAAAUUAGCGGAUAUAAGUUUGAGACAGAGUGCUGCAUAUGGACUUUGGAACUUCAGCUUCAACACCCUCUACCAUUCAACACAGGUUAUUGCUGUGCUGAUCGGAGGAAUGUUUAUACUGACUGGUCGUAUAACAGCGGAGCAACUUACAAAGUUCAUAUUAUACAGUGAAUGGCUGAUUUAUUCAACAUGGUCGGUCGGAGACAGCUUGUCAUCAUUGAUGCAGUCUAUAGGAGCCAGUGAAAAGGUUUUCCAACUGAUGGAUCUUCCACCAAGUAAUCAGUUCAUAUCAACUGCAGGAUCAAAAUUGCAAAGACUGGUAGGGCAUAUUGAAUUCCUGAAUGUCACCUUUUCCUACCCUUCAAGGGCUUUGGUUCCAGUAUUGCAACAUAUAAACUUCCAAGUGCAUCCUAAUGAAGUAGUUGCAAUUGUUGGUUUAAGCGGAAGUGGUAAGAGCACUCUAGUGAAUCUGUUGCUCCGCCUUUAUGAACCAACAGGUGGCCAGAUAAUGAUUGAUGGGCACCCAAUUAAAGAUUUGAACACCAAGUGGUUAAGGGAAAGAAUCGGUUAUGUGGGACAGGAACCUCGGCUUCUCCGUACUGAUAUCAGUUCAAAUAUAAGAUAUGGAUGUCCCAGGGUGGUAAAUCAAAAGGAUGUAGAAAGGGCCGCCAAGCAAGCUUAUGCCCAUGAAUUUAUUUCAUCUUUGCCUAAUGGCUAUCAAACUCUUGUGGAUGAUGAAUUGCUCAGUGGAGGGCAAAAGCAGAGAAUUGCUAUAGCAAGGGCAAUUCUUAGGGACCCAGACAUAUUGAUCCUAGAUGAAGCCACCAGUGCACUGGAUGCUGAGAGUGAGCACAACAUUAAGGGUGUCCUUCGUGCAGUCAGAAGUGACCUAAAGACAAAGAGAACUGUCAUAGUGAUUGCACAUAGGUAAAUGCUUUCUACAAUACAGGCUGCUGACAAAAUAGUUGUCAUGGAAGGUGGUAAAAUUGUUCAGGUAGGUAGCCACUCAGAGCUACUACUGAAAGAUGGUUUGUAUUCACGAUUAACAAGAAGACAGGCCGAUGCUGUGGUACCAUCUUAGUAUUGGUCGAUGUUUGGCAGUUUCAGUGCAUUCUUUCCUAUUUCCAUUUUUUUAUUUGCUAUAGCAGAGGUUACAUCACUUUUGGGAGCCAUGGAUUACCAGUGUCAGUUCAGGAGAUUUCUCCACAGAGAAAAUGGCAAGGUUAAGCGAUUAGUUUGCUGCUGUUCAUAAUUGUCCUUUUCUUCUUUCCAAAGAAGACUAGGUUGCACUUCAGUCCGCUUAGGCCAUUUUCAAAGGAGUAAUGCAGCUCAUGGAGUUGCUGCUGCUACAUUCUACUGCGAGCUUUUUCUCAUUCCUCAAAUCAUAUGAGUAGUUCAACAACAAUCUGCUGUGAUCUGCUGCAGACCAAGCGGUAGAGCCCAAUACCUAGGCAGCUUUUGAAGUUUCUGCGACCCUAAACCAUACUUCUUGUCCACAGUUCUUGUACUUGAACUAUAUGAUCUGUUAUAACUCAAGGGCUCUUUUUCUUUUAGAGGGAACUUGAGGCAUAUGUUGGAACAUGCAUAAGCAUACUGUUGUAUGUUUUAUGGUCCUAAUCAAUUCAUUUACUACAUUCAGUUGAUACAAGAUAUUCUGCGAAGUGGAAGAA